rnacentral:rRNA from 1 species
UAAUACGGAGGUGGCAAGCGUUGUUCGGAUUUACUGGGUGUAAAGAGUGCGUAGGCGUCUUAAUAAGUCGGAUGUGAAAUCCCUUGGCUUAACCAAGGAAUUGCAUUCGAAACUGUUGAGAUUGAGUCUAGAAGAGGAGAGCGGAAUUCCUGGUGUAGAGGUGAAAUUUGUAGAUAUCAGGAAGAACCUCGGUGGCGAAGGCUGCUCUCUGGUCUAGUACUGACGCUGAGGCACGAAAGCUAGGGGAGCAAACAGGAUUAGAUACCCUGGUAGUCCUAGCCGUAAACGAUGGGCACUAGAUAUUUCUGUUUAAACGGGAGUGUCGCAGCUAACGCAUUAAGUGCCCCACCUGGGGAGUACGGUCGCAAGGCUG